rnacentral:rRNA from 1 species
UACGGGGGGGGCAAGCGUUGUUCGGAAUUACUGGGCGUAAAGCGCGUGUAGGCUGCUCUGCAAGUCGGAUGUGAAAGCCCUGGGCUCAACCUAGGAAGUGCAUUCGAAACUGCAGAGCUGGAGUCCUGGAGAGGAAGGCGGAAUUCUCGGUGUAGAGGUGAAAUUCGUAGAUAUCGAGAGGAACACCGGUGGCGAAGGCGGCCUUCUGGACAGUGACUGACGCUGAGACGCGAAAGCGUGGGGAGCAAACAGG